rnacentral:lncRNA from 1 species
CUAAAGACUGCCCCCAGUGAGUGAAAGAUGUAGCCAGGCGUGUAGCACAAGGUCGUGUGUACCACAUGGAUGAACCUGGUGUUUUCCCCACUCCUAUUCUUAUACAGGGUAUGCUUUUUAUUCAUGACACCUUUGCCAAGGCAGUGAUCGAUACAGUUUCUACUCGCUCUUUUAUUUCCUGUGCAUUUGCUUGUAAGGUUGACAUUAUAUCAGAACCUUUAGUGGAAAUAUUAAUGGUAGAAACUCCCUCUAGGGGAUUUU